UACGAAGGGUGCAAGCGUUACUCGGAAUUACUGGGCGUAAAGCGUGCGUAGGUGGUUUGUUAAGUCUGUUGUGAAAGCCCCGGGCUCAACCUGGGAAUGGCAAUGGAUACUGGCAGGCUAGAGUGCGGUAGAGGGUAGUGGAAUUCCCGGUGUAGCGGUGAAAUGCGUAGAGAUCGGGAGGAACACCAGUGGCGAAGGCGGCUACCUGGACCAGCACUGACGCUCAUGCACGAAAGCGUGGGGAGCAAACAGG
rnacentral:rRNA from 1 species